AACGAACGCUGGCGGCAGGCUUAACACAUGCAAGUCGAACGCCCCGCAAGGGGAGUGGCGCACGGGUGAGUAACGCGUGGAUAUCUGCCUUUUGGUUCGGAAUAACCCCGGGAAACUGGGGCUAAUACCGGAUGGUUCCUACGGGAUAAAGAUUUAUCGCCAAAAGAUGAGUCCGCGUACGAUUAGCUAGUUGGUGAGGUAAUGGCUCACCAAGGCGACGAUCGUUAGCUGGUCUGAGAGGACGAUCAGCCACACUGGGACUGAGACACGGCCCAGACUCCUACGGGAGGCAGCAGUGGGGAAUAUUGGACAAUGGGGGCAACCCUGAUCCAGCCAUGCCGCGUGAGUGAUGAAGGCCUUCGGGUUGUAAAGCUCUUUUGGCGGGGACGAUGAUGACGGUACCCGCAGAAUAAGCCCCGGCUAACUUCGUGCCAGCAGCCGCAGUAA
rnacentral:rRNA from 1 species